rfam:Oryctolagus cuniculus unplaced genomic scaffold chrTn0036, whole genome shotgun sequence.
CUGCGGUGCAUUGUAGUUGCAUUGCAUGUUCUGGAAGUACCGUGCAAUGUUUCCACAGUGCAUCCCAG